AUGUGCAUUGCCAUUGCAACUUCUCUUCUCAUGAGUCUGAUAUGUGCUAUGGCUACUUAUGGAGUAUACAAGCAACAACAGCCUGAGUUAUCCCAUUCUUUUGUUACCAGAUCUUUGAUUUUGCCCUGAACACCUUGGUUGCAAUCACUGUGCUUGUUUAUCCAAACUCCAUUCAGGAAUACAUACGACAACUGCCUCCUAAUUUUCCCUACAGAGAUGAUGUCAUGUCAGUGAAUCCUACCUGUUUGGUCCUUAUUAUUCUUCUGUUUAUUAGCAUCAUCUUGACUUUUAAGGGUUACUUGAUUAGCUGUGUUUGGAACUGCUACAUCAAUGGCAGGAACUCCUCCGAUGUCCUGGUUUACGUUACCAGCAAUGACAAUACAGUGCUGCUACCCCCGUAUGAUGAUGCCAUUGUGAAUGCUGCUGCCAAAGAGCUGCUGCCACCUUACGUGUCUGCCUAAGCGAAGCUGAGGGCAGCAGCUUGACUCUUUUGACAUCUGAGCAAUGGUUGUUUUUUCACUUUUGCAAGGAGCUCUCUGAGCUUGUUUGUUGCUGAAAUGCUACUUUUAAAAAUGUAGACGUUAGUUAGGUUGAAACCUGUACUUUUCAGCAUAUGCUUUACUAGAACACUGUGAUAGAUGAGCUGUAGAAUUCUUUCUGUAGGAUUCGGGGUGUAAUGGGCUUCACUAACCUUCCCUAGGCACUGAAACGUCCCCCAAAUCUGAUGGACCCAGAGUCAGAGAAGUUUGCUUUUGUACCUGCUGGGCUCCAAAGAUAGGCAGUCACACUUUUUCUCUCUACUCCCUCUAUUUUGAAAGUGUAAAAUAAAAUCAAAAGUAGACAACUUUUACUUAAGCCAUUCCAGUGUAGAGAACAAAACCUUAUGAAAACAGAAAUGCCAACUGUGUAAUCAUUGUUCUAAUUAGGUAAAUAGAAGUCCUUAUAUAUGGAUUACAAGAAUUUGCCCCAUAGCAUCCUUUAUGACUUAAGUUCAAUGACAGUUUGCACUUGGUGGUAUAGGAUUUUUCUCCAUGGCCUAAAUCAAGACCAUUAGAAAGCACUAGGCGGUGGGAGCAGUAACCAUCUGAUGACUGUUCUCAUGCAUCCGGGUCCAGGGACAUGGGGCGACAUGCCUCGUCUGUGUUAGAGGGUGGGACGGGUGUGUUGGGCGCUGCAUGGGACCUGGUCCUCCUCUACUAGAUUCACAUCCCAACCCAGGGCCCACUUUUACUAAGUGUUCUGCCCUAGCCUGGUUCAAGGAGGUCAUCCAGCUGACUUUAUCAAGUGGAAUUGGGAUAUAUUUGAUAUACAUUUGCCUGACAACUUGGAAAAGGGUUUUCCUCCUCCUUUCCCUGAAAGGUACAUUCUACUGCUUUGAACUUCCAAGUAUGCCUAGUGACCUUUUAAAAUGUAAAAGUUUUCAGAAAAAUGAAGGUUGCUUUCCUUGUAUGUGCUUAUUAUCUUGACUACCUGAACUGCAUGGGAUUUUUAUAUAUUCAUAUGUUCCAAAGUCAGCAACUCACCUGUUGGUUCAUUACUGAAUGUGCUAUAAAUGAAGUCUUUUGCAAUUAAAAGAGAUUUGCCCACA